GGUGAUUGUAAUCUAUAAUAGUGUGUGUCUCCCGCCAAAUACAGCACACGGUUUGUUUGUGAAACCUUUACACAGCAUUAUACUCUUGGAAUUCUAAUGGAGGUCAUGGAAGGCAAUAUUGAGUAUGUAUAUAACGAAGAGGACGUUUCAAAGAAAUAUGAUAUAGGUUACCAAGAUGAUUUCGAUGAGAAGGCUGGCCAGGUGAACAAUCUAUACUAACUCAAAAGAUAGGAAACAUUUCCUGGUUUAGAGAAGAACACCACACAUUUGUUCUCUUGUUGGUUGGGAAAUACAAGUUGACGUUGGAAAGGAAACUUAAUGCUCUACAACAUUUAAAAAACUGUUAUAUAUAGUGCUUCUACAUGUAUGUGUGGGACCCUAAAUGACUCCAACGAGUAUCAGCUAUUACAUCAUGUAUUAGGAGGAUAUGAUCAACAAUAUAUAUAUUUGAGGAUAAGAUUAACAAAUCCUAAAAGUGUGAAUAUUGUACAAAAUUGUCAAUUACAAUAUGCAUAAUAUCUUACUUACUAUAAUAUUUAAAGAAGUGUAACAAAGUUUCCACUUAUGAUUUUUCCAGACGUUUUAAGUCAAAUUAAAUUCCAUUUGUAUCUUUCAGUAAGCAUUCCUAAUUCUAAUUGAACACAUGAAAAAAGUAUUGCUGUUGUAUGUGUGUAUUUAAAGCAGACAGUAGCUACAAAUUAAAAUGUAUUUGAUGUGCUUAAGGGAGUUUAUUAAUGUUUUAUCAAAAUUUGAUGUUAUUGUAAUGAAAAGGUAAGGAAAAUGUUUACCAAUCAUUUGUCAAUUUGUUUUUCUACGAAGACUUUAUAACAAAGGAACAACUCUCACCUCACUGCAAGGCCACCAAGUACGAUUAACUGAGUUCAUUUAUUAUUAUAAUAUUACUUUCAAAUUAAAUGCGGUAUUUUCUUUUCAUACGAUACAUAUGUCUAUGUUUCGUUUUACCUUGUUAACAAUAAUGUCCUUACCAUAAUUCUGAUAGACAUACUAUCAGAUUAUUACAUGGACUUCGGCUCUUGGGCUGAUAUUGAACCUUGGGCUGAUAAUACAUCUGAUAUGAAAAAUGACAUGUUAUGAUAUUUUUAUCAUAUGCUUCAAUAAUGGAGAAAAAUAACAGUUUAAUAUAUUGCUCCGUUUAAGUGGUUCUCAAGUAGAAGUUCAAAAAGUGAAAAUUCUUUAUGAAAUCUUUCUAUCAUAUGCCUCAACAGAGGAGAAAAACAACAGUAUAAUUAUACAUUAUUAUAUUGACGAUAAAAAAAAAUCAACAAAACAUAAUGGACACUAUUAGGAAAAGUCAACAUUUAUAAAGUGACUUUCUAAAUUAUGCUGGAAACUUUAAAAAAUGCAUUUAUUGUAUCACUUGAUUUGUUUUUUG